CCUCUCAAUAUAUUAAAACAUGUAUAACCAAAUUUCUCUAUAACGUUUGUUCCGAUAUAAUAAAGUACUGUUAUAGAUGACAUAUAUUAUAACAUACCAUAAAAAUCGAUUUCGAAAAAAACUUAACUUUUAUAAUAUGAAUGCCCGUUAAAUAGAGAUACUGUUAUAGAGAGGUCGGACUAUAAAAAUUAAUGAAAUUUUCCGGGAUGUAACUGCUCCUCGGGCCGCGUCCAAAUGGGAAGGUUGGUUCUUUGAGAUCUAGCGGACAUGGAGAUAAUCUUUCACCCCUUUUACAAGCUUCUGCAUAUUCUUUCUCCUUUUCUGCAGUAAGACCCACCCAAUAGAGUUGCGUAUAUUCAUCUACACAUUCUUGCUGACAAUUUUUUUCCUUUUGUUCAGGUGUUAAUAUUGUACAAUUUACCAUUUCUUUAGAAAACAAUAUUAAGAGAAAUGUGCAAAUUUGCAACAACGCCAUGUUUUGCUUGUCUGACAUUUUUUUUGAAUUAAUUUCCUGCAAAAAAAAAUUAUUUAUUGGUUAAGAUAAAAUAAAUCUUACUUUUUGCUAUCCGUCUUUUCAAAUAGUUAUACAACCAAAAUACAAACGGGAGAACUGGUUUUGUAGUCCUUUUUAAACUUGAUUUUAGUUUUAUAUUUCUUUUGCAAAAGAUCUUCAUUUUUAUGUAUAAGAGAUUUAAUAAUAACACAAAAGAGAUUAAAAAGAUCAUUUUCUUCUAUUUAAAUUGUAAGUAGCCCCAAGAGAUCAUUUUCUUAUGAAAUUAAUUUCAUGUGGCAGCGACCAACUUUUUAUUUAUUGCACCAAGAUCAUACUAACUAAUAUUUGUAACAGAAAAAACACAACUAUAUCCAUAUAGUACAGAAAAUAAAAAAUAUUUAUAGCCACAACGAUAAUAUCAUACGGAACUAAUAGAAAUGGAGAUAGCUAGAAUAUUUUCAAGAUGAUCGAAUAAAGAUAUCUUACAGUAUUGAGAAGUCAAAUUAUUGUUUCAUUAAUGUUGACAAAUACUUU
rnacentral:lncRNA from 1 species